CAUUAUUUUAAUCGUAAUGAUUAUACCUGGUGAUGUACAUAGGUAUAAAAAUAUAAAACUGCACAUAAUAUUAAAAUGAAUGUUACUUUGAUAUGUAAGGAAAUGUACGGAAAACUUUGUAUGAUUGUCUUGAGCUUAUGCUUGGCAGUUGGAGGACAAAAUGAACCAAAUGGUCCAAUAUCAGCUAUUCAGCAGUGGCUAUCACAAUCUUCUUCGCGAGCUAACAUGGUCAUGGGUACUUACCAGGCCUUGGUCAUGCCCAUGCCCAAUGGACAAGAUAUAGCAAAUGGUAUUCAAAAUGGCGUUAAUGCAGCUCAGUCAAUGGUACAAGGCGUUAGACAGUUUUUUCAGAAUUUACAGUCAAAUGAUAAUAAAAAACAACAAUAACAACCAUUUUAACUAAUUAGUAGAAUAAAAACUUUACUGUUAAUUAAUGUUUUUCUUUAGUGGUUCUUAAUCGUUUUUGAACGCUUCUCGUAUGUCGUGUACUAAUUAAGAAAUGCUUAAAAGUAUGUCCCAAUUAAAAGUUUUUGCUUACGUUUUUAUUUAGUGGGAAAUGCUUUUUGUAUACUCAUCAACCAAAUCAAAACAAAAUAAAUAGUUUGUAAUGUCCGCAAUUAAUUAAUAUAGGUCUCUAUUUCCGUUAAGGUUUAGUGCUGUGCCAGAUAAAGUAAAAAAAGUUCGAAUUAAAAAUGAAAAGAUUUUUUGUGAUUUUAUAUUUUUCGCUAUUCUUAUUGAUUUGCUAUGCUGCCAGAACGAACAUGGGUGAAUAUGAAGUUUCUGUAGAAAUGGAAAAUUCUCGAAAAUCUGCUAAUAAUAACCAAAAUUUGACUGGGCAAGUUGAUGCAUAUCUAUCAGAAAAAACGAAAACGAUGAUAAAAAAACUUGCAACAUUAGCAGAAGAUGACGAUGAAAG